GAUGAACGCUGGCGGCGUGCCUAAUACAUGCAAGUCGAGCGAACAGACGAGGAGCUUGCUCCUCUGACGUUAGCGGCGGACGGGUGAGUAACACGUGGAUAACCUACCUAUAAGACUGGGAUAACUUCGGGAAACCGGAGCUAAUACCGGAUAAUAUAUUGAACCGCAUGGUUCAAUAGUGAAAGACGGUUUUGCUGUCACUUAUAGAUGGAUCCGCGCCGCAUUAGCUAGUUGGUAAGGUAACGGCUUACCAAGGCAACGAUGCGUAGCCGACCUGAGAGGGUGAUCGGCCACCCUGGAACUGAGACACGGUCCAGACUCCUACGGGAGGCAGCAGUAGGGAAUCUUCCGCAAUGGGCGAAAGCUUGACGGAGCAACGCCGCGUGAGUGAUGAAGGUCUUCGGAUCGUAAAACUCUGUUAUUAGGGAAGAACAAAUGUGUAAGUAACUAUGCAUGUCUUGACGGUACCUAAUCAGAAAGCCACGGCUAACUACGUG
rnacentral:rRNA from 1 species